rnacentral:rRNA from 1 species
UACGGAGGGGGCUAGCGUUGUUCGGAAUUACUGGGCGUAAAGCGCACGUAGGCGGCUUGGUAUGUCGGGUGUGAAAUCCCCGGGCUCAACCUGGGAACUGCAUCCGAAACUGCCUUGCUCGAGUAUGGGAGAGGGAAGUGGAAUUUCCGGUGUAGCGGUGAAAUGCGUAGAGAUCCGGAAGAACACCGGUGGCGAAGGCGGCCUGCUGGGCAGUUUUGCUGACACUGAGGCGCGACAGCGUGGGGAGCAAACAGG